rnacentral:rRNA from 1 species
CAGUAGCCGCGGGAAUACGUAGGGUGCAAGCGUUAAUCGGAAUUACUGGGCGUAAAGCGUGCGCAGGCGGCUUUGCAAGACAGAUGUGAAAUCCCCGGGCUCAACCUGGGAACUGCAUUUGUGACUGCAUGGCUAGAGUACGGUAGAGGGGGAUGGAAUUCCGCGUGUAGCAGUGAAAUGCGUAGAUAUGCGGAGGAACACCGAUGGCGAAGGCAAUCCCCUGGACCUGUACUGACGCUCAUGCACGAAAGCGUGGGGAGCAAACAGGAUAGAUACCCGAGUAGUCCCUGUCUCUUAUACC